rnacentral:rRNA from 1 species
AGUGAACGCUGGCGGUAGGCCUAACACAUGCAAGUCGAACGGCAGCACAGUAAGAGCUUGCUCUUACGGGUGGCGAGUGGCGGACGGGUGAGGAAUACAUCGGAAUCUACUUUUUCGUGGGGGAUAACGUAGGGAAACUUACGCUAAUACCGCAUACGACCUACGGGUGAAAGCAGGGGAUCUUCGGACCUUGCGCGAUUGAAUGAGCCGAUGACGGAUUAGCUAGUUGGCGGGGUAAAGGCCCACCAAGGCGACGAUCCGUAGCUGAUCUGAGAGGAUGAUCAGCCACACUGGAACUGAGACACGGUCCAGACUCCUACGGGAGGCAGCAGUGGGGAAUAUUGGACAAUGGGCGCAAGCCUGAUCCAGCCAUACCGCGUGGGUGAAGAAGGCCUUCGGGUUGUAAAGCCCUUUUGUUGGGAAAGAAAAGCAGCAGGUUAAUACCCCGCUGUUCUGACGGUACCCAAAGAAUAAGCACCGGCUAACUUCGUG